AUGAAAGCUAAUGAAGUAAGUUCAACACAUGCUCGACCAACUGAUUCCACCAACAACUCGAAGAAGCCUUCAACUUGUCCUGAAAGCUCAUGCUCGACCAAACAACUCAUGGCAAGCACUCAGACGUCAGAUGAUUGGUUAGAACUCAAGGAGAGAUCUAAAUGGCAGGACAAAGCCAUACAAGAGCUAACACAUAUUGUGAAAGAGCUGAAGGAUCACAUCAAGGAGCUCAAUAGAAAAACCAACCAAGUACCACUCAACAUCAAGGACGCCCUUGACGAUGGAGCCACUAUUCUUGUCAGCAAAGAAGGAUGUGAAUUCCUAUCAGAAUGGUGUAGAGGAGAAGACUAUCUUAAUAAAAAAGAAGCUUACUGUGAGGACAUGGCCUCUGAGUACCCAAUUGCACACCUGUCAAGAAACCCUAAUGAGUAUGAUGAUCACUCUACUCAAGAAGGAGAGGAGACCACAUUUCCUCUCCGCAACCCACCU
rnacentral:sRNA from 1 species